rnacentral:pre_miRNA from 1 species
UUAAUACUCCAUCCGUCACAUAUUAAGUGAAGAAAUAUUGCAUGUAUCUAGACGCGUUUUAGGUAUAGAUACAUUCAUAUUUGCCCAAAUUUGAAUCACUUAAUAUGGGACGGAGGAAGUAUUUC